AUGCCGCUUGAUAAUGAUACGUAUGAUGUUAAGAUGCCAUCACUUGAGGGCAAGGCUUGGGCAGGCGCAAAUGGAGAUUGGGUUGUUUAUAUUGGGUACAACUGCGAGUGGGAACUUGUGAAUGUGUACACUCGUCACCGGGUUCCACUUCCAAAAAUCUCAGAUGACUGCCCAGAGGUUGAGUACACCGGUAUUCUACGUGAGUUCAAAUACGAUCAUGGUGACUGUCGUCUAUGGAAGAUAACAAUUUGUCGAGUUCCCAACCGCUCUUGGGAUUACACGAACUAUGAAGUUGUUGCUAUCUUCGACAAGCUUGUUGCCUUCCUUACUUCCACGCCUCGAUGGAUAUUGCUCAAAAAUCAAUUUCUGUACACGGAUGAGUACUGUGAUGCAAUUUAA
rnacentral:rRNA from 1 species